GACGAACGCUGGCGGCGCGCCUAACACAUGCAAGUCGAACGGAGCUUGCUUGUCAGAUUCUUUCGGGGUGACGACUUGUAAGCUUAGUGGCGAACGGGUGAGUAACACGUGAGUAACCUGCCCCAGAGUGGGGGACAACAGUUGGAAACGACUGCUAAUACCGCAUAAGCCCACGGAACCGCAUGGUUCAGAGGGAAAAGGAGCAAUCCGCUUUGAGAUGGCCUCGCGUCCGAUUAGCUAGUUGGUGAGGUAACGGCCCACCAAAGCGACGAUCAGUAGCCGGCCUGAGAGGGCGACCGGCCACAUUGGGACUGAGACACGGCCCAA
rnacentral:rRNA from 1 species